CAACACCAAGUAUUUCAUCCGCUAUAGUGUAGCGGUAAAAAUUGCAAAGCAAUUUUUACUACGCAUUAAAAGCAUGAACUGACACGGUGGUUGAAGUAUUAGGUGUUGAACUUUCUUAGUGGCGAACGGGUGAGUAACGCGUGGGCAACCUGCCCUCUAGAUGGGGACAACAUCCCGAAAGGGGUGCUAAUACCGAAUAUGACAGCAAUCUCGCAUGAGGAUGCUGUGAAAGAUGGCCUCUAUUUAUAAGCUAUCGCUAGAGGAUGGGCCUGUGUCUGAUUAGCUAGUUGGUGGGGUAACGGCCUACCAAGGCGAUGAUCAGUAGCCGGUCUGAGAGGAUGAACGGCCACAUUGGGACUGAGACACGGCCCAGACUCCUACGGGAGGCAGCAGUGGGGAAUCUUCCGCAAUGGGCGAAAGCCUGACGGAGCAAUGCCGCGUGAGUGAUGAAGGAAUUCGUUCCGUAAAGCUCUUUUGUUUAUGACGAAUGUGCAGAUUGUAAAUAAUGAUUUGUAAUGACGGUAGUAAACGAAUAAGCCACGGCUAACUACGUGCCAGCAGCCGCGGUAAUACGUAGGUGGCGAGCGUUGUCCGGAAUUAUUGGGCGUAAAGAGCAUGUAGGCGGUUUUUUAAGUCUGGAGUGAAAAUGC
rnacentral:rRNA from 1 species